AGCAAGCAGAUCUCCUUCGGGAGUGACGCUUGUGGAACGAGCGGCGGACGGGUGAGUAACACGUGGGCAACCUACCUGUAAGACUGGGAUAACUCCGGGAAACCGGGGCUAAUACCGGAUGAAACAAAGCGUCGCAUGACGCAAUGUUAAAAGGCGGCAUAUGCUGUCACUUACAGAUGGGCCCGCGGCGCAUUAGCUAGUUGGUGAGGUAAAGGCUCACCAAGGCAACGAUGCGUAGCCGACCUGAGAGGGUGAUCGGCCACACUGGGACUGAGACACGGCCCAGACUCCUACGGGAGGCAGCAGUAGGGAAUCUUCCGCAAUGGACGAAAGUCUGACGGAGCAACGCCGCGUGAGUGAUGAAGGUUUUCGGAUCGUAAAACUCUGUUGUUAGGGAAGAACAAGUGCCAUUCAAAUAGGUUGGCACCUUGACGGUACCUAACCAGAAAGCCCCGGCUAACUACGUGCCAGCAGCCGCGGUAAUACGUAGGGGGCAAGCGUUGUCCGGAAUUAUUGGGCGUAAAGCGCGCGCAGGCGGUCCUUUAAGUCUGAUGUGAAAGCCCACGGCUUAACCGUGGAGGGCCAUUGGAAACUGGAGGACUUGAGUACAGAAGAGGAGAGUGGAAUUCCACGUGUAGCGGUGAAAUGCGUAGAGAUGUGGAGGAACACCAGUGGCGAAGCGACUCUCUGGUCUGUAACUGACGCUGAGGUGCGAAAGCGUGGGUAGCGAACAGGAUUAGAUACUCUGGUAGUCCACGCCGUAAACGAUGAGUGCUACGUGUUAGGGGGUUUCCGCCCCUUAGUGCUG
rnacentral:rRNA from 1 species